GGGGGAAACACUACGUUUUCAGAAAAGUCCAUAUACGUGUGGACACGGCCUGAUUCUCCCAAGCACUGGCAUUCACACCUACUGUAGGUCCACAGAGACCAGGACCCGGGCCGUGGCACCUGAGGGACCCAUUAAGAGACACGCCAGAGAGUCUCUCUGAGAUCCUGAACCCACAGGAAAUACGCCUGGAAGUCCCAAGAAUUAUUAUAUCAGUCCCAUAAAGACCUUUGCUUGACCUGCACUUGCUACAUAUGACUUAUUGCUCCCUCAUGGAAUUUCUUAUUUCUUCCCCCCCCCGCGUACUUUUACUAAGAAAGAACCAGGCAUUUGCACCUUCGCACACCAUAGCAAAUAAACACCUGUGUUUAAAUGUGUGAUCGUUAAAUGUAUUAUUGAGGCUGAAAUAUUAAUUGUUUUUAUUGCUUUCGCCAAGGACACAUUGUGGUUUACAUACAUUUACCUGCAUUCUCUCUGUCUCGUUUGUCUUGCCUUACAUCAAAACUUCUAAAACUCACGUAUAGAGCGUGACUACCCAGAAACAGGCCUGAGGCCCACACUUUUAAUCUAAUGGCUUUAAUGUGACAAAUAAAGCCCAAUUCUGGUGGGAUACGUUUUACUCAGGAGGUCCUGUAAAGUACUUUUUACGUAUUAUGUGGGUAAUUCCAGAACAGCAUUCUAACAGGAUAAAAAAAUUCACAGAAACCCCACCCGAAUUAGUGGCUGUGUCCCGGAUGUUAGAUAUCGAAACUAACACUACGUAAGAAAAAGCGACGCGUUUUGUGGGAAGUUACUGAGAUGUCUAUUUAUACGGGACUAUUAUUACCAUAGGAUUGUGAAUUACCUGUCUAUCUCUGCUGAACUAAUCUGCAGAGAGGACGUGUGUGUGAAGGUGAUCAAAUUGUGUGCGCUUUGUCCACAUGACGUGUUGAGCAUGUGGGAAGGUGUAGGUGAACUUCCCUUAUGAAAAAAAUCACAUGUGCAAUUUGCCUUUUCACAUGUGAAAAUAUCUGAUAAUAUUAGGCUUAGCUGGGAGGCAUGGAGGUCCGGAGAUGUUGCCCAGACAUGCUUUUCCUUGUGUGUCAAAAGACCUGCACAUUACAGUAUGUUAUGUGAUCAGUUGAGUAAUGGGCUUGGUAUGUAAUGCACCAAUCAUGUACAAACAUGUAUGAAGUAGCAUGUUUCAACCCCCAGCAUGUUGUAUUUGAGUGUAUCAGUAACAUUUAAUUAUAAGUGUUACAAACGUUCAAUGCAUCAUUAAUAAGGACAUUAUACAUGUGUUAAAAUGUGUUGAAAUUUUGAAUGUUUAAAUGUCUUAUUGAGAAGUAGAUCAGGGUGACGGAAGUGAAAAUACUGUAAUGUAAUUAUUUUUUUUAAACACAUUACUCAGUACAUGACCCAGUCAUGGCUUCUGAUUAAAAGUUAUAAUAUUAAUAACUUUGGCACAUUGCCACAACCACCCUAAGGCUGGACAUCCUCCUGGUGUCAGAAGCGACCAAAAACAUCCUCCUUUUUUUUUAACAGUGCCGUGGGAGGACCGCCUGGAGGAGGCCCAUGGGAGGAAGAGGGCCAAGCAUGAAGACCAUGUCAUCGACUGCCGUUGACACCUCUGCUGUACACGCCGGACAGCUCCCGCAGCGCCUGUAGCUGCAUCGUGAACUGGUCCGCCUGACGGAGAAGACAAAGAAGAGGAGAAGAUGAAGAGCGCUUCAGCUUUUCGGCAAAGAAACGCGACCGGCCCGCAUCCGCGGUUCAGCGCGUUGGCCUCAGCUGCAAAACAACUGGAUUCUAUUCAGUCUUCCGUUCACCCUGUUCAUGUGUUCAAUGGUGCAAAUAAAGAUGGCAGAUCUGUC